UACAGAGGUCUCAAGCGUUGUUCGGAUUCAUUGGGCGUAAAGGGUGCGUAGGCGGCGCGGUAAGUCGGGUGUGAAAUCUCGGAGCUUAACUCCGAAACUGCAUUCGAUACUGCCGUGCUUGAGGACUGGAGAGGAGACUGGAAUUUACGGUGUAGCGGUGAAAUGCGUAGAUAUCGUAAGGAAGACCAGUGGCGGAAGGCGGGUCUCUGGACAGUUCCUGACACUGAGACACGAAGGCCAGGGGAGCAAACGGG
rnacentral:rRNA from 1 species